UUUAAAAAAAAAAAAAAAAAAAAGGAGAAAAAAAUAAUAAUUCGAUGAGCGCGACGACGGUGUUUCUCGCGAGCUCAACAUGCCUAAAUCGCGUCACUGUUUCCCUUUUUAUUACGCGAAUCCUCGCACGGACUACCGAUUCGGAUUGGAUUGGCAAGAGAGAGCCACGUCAAUGGGAUCGAAGGAGCUCCCACAAAACGAACGACGAAGGAGAUACUUGAACGAACGAAGCCACUCCGUAGUCGCUACGUCGUCGCAAGAAUUAAAUUGCGACUACCGAAUGAGGCAUGUCGACUGUCUUCGUGGCCUCGGGAAAGACGUCGCGCGACUCUGGCGAGGGAGACCGUGCGGAUCGUAACUCGCGACGUCCCCGUCGUAUUUGCAGAUGCACUUGAAACAAGACACCAGGAUGAACGCAAUGCACAUUCAACUGCCGCAGGAUUUCUAUUCCUGACGACGGGAUAAUGAUAAGGGGUGCACAAGGAUUAUACGUGAGGAAUAUCGUCGUCCGCUCUUCACCAUCAUUCAUCGUGAAAUUAAAUCGUAACAAAAUGUGACCCUACUACUAGAACAAAACAUCAAGUUGAUUAUCAAGAUUAUCAAGUCAAUAAACCCCAAAACGGAACAAACUCCUAGGGGGCUUUAAUUUUUUCCACACUCACUACACACUAAUUGUGUAACAUUGGUUCUUUUGGUUCUACAAAUCCUGUAACUUUCAACAAACUCUCUUUAUCCCUCCUUCUCUCUUUUUUUCUUUUAUACCUUAUUGGAAAAUUCAUGAAAAUAAAAUGAAGAAAAAGGAUAUUUUUAAUAAAUGACUUUUAGCUGUA